rnacentral:rRNA from 1 species
UACCCGCUGAACUUAAGCAUAUCAAUAAGCGGAGGAAAAGAAACCAACAGGGAUUGCCUCAGUAACGGCGAGUGAAGCGGCAACAGCUCAAAUUUGAAAUCUGGUCCUUUCCGGCCCCGAGUUGUAAUUUGUAGAGGAUGUUUCGGGCGCGGCGCGGGUCUAAGUCCUUUGGAACAGGGCGUCAGAGAGGGUGAGAAUCCCGUAUGCGACCCGUGGCCAACCCCAUCUGAAACCCCUUCGACGAGUCGAGUUGUUUGGGAAUGCAGCUCAAAAUGGGUGGUAAAUUUCAUCUAAAGCUAAAUACCGGCCAGAGACCGAUAGCGCACAAGUAGAGUGAUCGAAAGAUGAAAAGCACUUUGGAAAGAGAGUCAAACAGUACGUGAAAUUGUUGAAAGGGAAGCGCUUGCGACCAGACCUGCCCGCGGGCGAUCAACCCCCGUUCUCGGGGGUGCACUCGCCCGCGAUCAGGCCAGCAUCGGUUCGGGCGGUCGGAUAAAGGCCUUGGGAAUGUAGCUUCCUCCGGGGAGUCUUAUAGCCCUCGGUGCAAUGCGGCCAGCCCGGACCGAGGACCGCGCUUCGGCUAGGAUGCUGGCGUAAUGGUCGUAAGCGACCCGUCUUGAAACACGGACCAAGGAGUCUAACAUCUAUGCAAGUGUUUGGGUGUGAAACCCAUGCGCGGAAUGAAAGUGAACGGAGGUGAGAACCCUCAAGGGCGCAUCAUCGACCGAUCCAGAUGUCUUCGGAUGGAUUUGAGUACGAGCAUAGCUGUUGGGACCCGAAAGAUGGUGAACUAUGCCUGAAUAGGGUGAAGCCAGAGGAAACUCUGGUGGAGGCUCGCAGCGGUUCUGACGUGCAAAUCGAUCGUCAAAUUUGGGUAUAGGGGCGAAAGACUAAUCGAACCAUCUAGUAGCUGGUUCCUGCCAAAGUUUCC